rnacentral:lncRNA from 1 species
UUGAGUUUUUACAUUCCAGAGCCCCAAACCCAUCUCUUCAGCUAAAAAACACAGCUUAACAAUUACAAUAGUGUAUGAGUUGCAGCUGUUUAACAGAGCUGGGAAAAAAAAAAAGUAGGUAAGGCAUUCAAUGUAGCUGCAGGAGGAUGGGAAAGUAAAUUUAGCAGUCUCUGUAGAAAGUAUACAAGUUUAUGAGAAAAAUAUUAAGGCACUGGAGAAUUUACACAGUACGUUGGAGUAUAACAGUAUUUUAUCAGAAGCUUCACAUCCAGUCUUUAACUUUUUUAGGAUGCAGAAAAUGCUCCUGAAUACAGGCUGGAAUUUGGAUCAGCACAUCCUGCACUAAACAUCUUAGAAAUGUUCUGUAUCUUCUUGUCGUUUGAGGAUAUUUCAGCAAUUAUUUCUGAGCUAUAUGCCAUUUCUACAAUUUUUCUCAAAAACAUAGAGGUCCCAAUCAUAUUUGGUUUGUACAAGCAAAGGAAAAGGGUUACAGUGCAACAUUCUGUCCUGAUACCACGUGAGGAUGGAGACAAGAGUUGGAGACAGAGAGAGAAGGUGUCCAGAGUGUCCAGAGCGGAUUCGAGUGAUUCUGACAGGGUGUGACACACGUUGUUUUCUCUGGUGGAACCAAGCCAAGCAAAGAGGCAUUCACAGACAGAUCCUGUGGGUACCUUCAGCCAUCGAGGAGUUUGGCAAUCCCAAGAGCCUUGAGCACAUCUCUUCUUGGAAAGGGUGGAAACCAGAGAUGGUACAAGACGAUAACUUAAUGCAGUGAUUGCUGGUUGUCCAUGGAGAAGCACAAACUUGAGCCAGGAUUUGGAAUAAAGCCAAGAAAACUGCUGAGAAGACAGAUCCUUGGUAUCACAUGCUGUAGGUCGUCAUGGGACCCAUCACAAAGCCCAGCUGUGCAGUGAGCUCUGCCUCUGCAGGCACCAGUGUCUCCCCAUGUAGGCAACGUGGUAUUAGGAACCAGGAAUCGGUACCCACAGCUCUUCAUGUGGAGAAAGGUUCUUACAGUUAAAAACUGUAGAUGUAAUGGAGACUCAAGAAAAAACUUUUAAAAAGAUGGGGAAGAGGAUGAAGGAAAUGUCCUAAAAGAAGAACCUGGGUUCCUGCUAUCACAAAGACUUAACAGAAGCAAAACAAAACCAAAAGAGAGAUAACAUAGUGAGGGUUGAAUAAAGUCCUACUCCAAAAGGGUUUUCUGUUGGGAUGUGAGGCUGCAGCUCUUGACGCUGCUCUGAUUGCUGAUGGCAUCAGUGCUUAACUUGGGAUGGUGGGCAUGCAGGGAGCAGACAACAGGAAGGGAAAGUUUGCCUUACUGUAGCUUGCAGAAGUGCCCCAGACCCCCCCAUUCUUGCACUGAAGUCCCAAUAAAGACCACUGCUUCCUGAAGAUAUGUUUCCAGAAGAAAAGGACUAACAGGGAGAAGGGCAAGCAGCUCUCAGUGCAGACUGGGGAGCAAGGGGUGCAUUGCAGAGUGUGGAUGAGCAACCCCAAAUGUGGUGACUUCCAAGGUUGGACUGCUCCCUGGAGAAAGGUCAACACUUGCAAGACUUGCAAGUCUUGCAAGCUGUGGUAGCAGGAGACCUAGUUAAAUGAUGAGAAAAGCUUGGUGAGACUGAUCAGAGGAAGGAACUUCAUGCCCUUUAUUCAGGGUUCAUCAUAGCAGUGAGUCCAUGCAAGUCAAUUAUGUUUUUGUGUGCUGGGAGCCUGCUCACUGCAAGAUGUAUUAAGUUACAAUUAACUUAAUGAAAUGUUGUAACAUACGACCCAGGACUGAGAAGGCACUUGGAGGCAGGAGCAGGAAGAUUCAGGCUGCAGCGGGCAUGGUGGCACUGGAUCUUGACGCUCACCUAAACUCAUUGAUAAAUUAGCUUGUUAUUUCUUCUUCCCCAGGCACAGCAGACAGUUCUUAUUGGGUAUGUCUCUUAGCUGAAUUAGGUUGGUGCGUUGCCAGCCCUGGUCACAGAACUUUAUCUAAGACAUCUCGUGCUGUCGGCUGCAAGGAAAAAUGCUCCAUAAGUGGGUGAUCUUUAUUAUCCAAUGUAUUUCAGUAGAGGAGUUAUCAUUUAAACACUGCACUCUAUAAAGAUAACUGAACAAGCAUAAAUAUAACAUUGGUAUAAACAUAAAAACAUGUAUUUUCUUGCCUAAUAUUAUAAAAUAUGAGAAUGAAUGUAAGCAGGAUUUAUUUUCUAUACCAGAACAAAAAUAGAUUGAACCAUCUGUUAUUUAUGGUCUUUCCAGCAUUGUAUAUUGUCUGACCAUUCAGCACAACUUGUCUCUAGAAGCUUUAGAAGCUCUAGAAGUUUAAAGUGGAGUUUAUAGGAGGUGGAAAAUCUCUUUGCACCUCAGUCUAGAGGAGUUCACAGCCAUUGUGUCCAUGUCCAAGGAGACUGCAGUCUCUAUUCUGGCUGAGUGUGAACCACACUGCCAUAGAGGUUCAUGAAAGCAAGAUGAUAGUGAGUGCAGAAGGCUGGCUCUGAAGGCUUAGGGUUUAGAAGCAGAGGUUUUAGGUGUUCUGCUUUACCCAGCGUUAAAUGCAGUGCUGCCCUGGGAUCAAGGACUCAAACCUCAGGCUCUCCUUUCCUUUGCUUUCCUUAUUCACCAUGUUGUUCAGAAUGUACCUCUGAGGUACACCAUUUCACAUACAAUCAGCAACAGGAAGACUUUCUUCUCAAGGUCAUUAAUUACAGCAGAACCAGAACAUUCCAUGAUCUUGCUGGGCAUCUUCCUUUAAGCUAGGAGGAUUUACUUGAAUUACAUCUCUUCUAAUUUCAGCUUCUAGGAAGUGAACAUUCAGUUCUCAAUUUGAGGAAACAAACAGCUUUGUUGUAUCCUAACUACAGGCCAGAAGUUAAUUCAUGAUGUCUGUCAGAGUAUUCUCAUUCUGUAUUAGUAUAAACCCAGAAUUACUCAGAUAAGAUGGAGCAAAUCACAGUAGAGUCAGCAUACAUGGUUUUAAGCAGUUCCUGCCUCCAUCCCAGUGUUUUGCCCUUCCAAGCACCGUUCUGCAGGAGGCUGGCAUCUGCCUUUCCAGCUGGGGUCCAGCCUGCCGCUCACUGCAGUCACUGGGAAGUUUUCCAUGGCUUCAGGACGCGCUGGAGCUGGCUCACUGUCUGUUCUUUCAAGGCUGCAAACUGGUUUAGCUAGCACAACCAGCACUUUGCAGACAACUCAGCAAUUACGGGAUCAUAUAACUACAGUAAGAGGCUGAGCUGCAAAUUACUGUAAUUAUGAAUAUUUCUGUUGCAAAGGCGAAUUUACAGCCAGAUAUGUCAUGUCAAAAUUAUUUCAUUUUGUGGGUAAUUCUAAUUCUGCAAUACAUUUCUAGAACUUCAUUUUCCUGUUAAACAGCAUUUUAAUUUGAAGAGUCUAUUACGGCGGUUAUAGUGGAUUAUUGGAAGAAUUUAGAGGCAGAUUAUGAAGUGCAAACAUUCUCCAUCACAGGCUAAAUCCAUCCCAGACAGCACAGCCCAGGUGAGAAUAGCAAUUAAUGUCACUAUGAGGGUGCUGGACAGUGUUUCAGGAGAGGCACAGUUUCCUGGUACGAUACAGCUUUUUACACAUAUAUCCCUGAAUCCAAAACCUCAGAAUGAGAGGUAACGGCCUUAAGUUGGACCAGAAGAGGUUCAGGUUGGAUAUUAGGAAAAAUUUCUUCUCAAAGAGACUGGUAAUGGAUUGGAACAGACUGCCCGGGGAGGUGGUGGGGUCACCAUCCCUGGAGGUGUUCAAGAAACAAGGAGAUGUGGCACUGAGGGACGUGGUUAACAUGCACGGUGGUGAUGUGUUGAUGGUUGGACUACACGAUCUUAGUGAUCUUUUCCAACCUCAGUGAUUCUAUGAUUCUCAGAUUCCAGCUCUCGCCGGAGCUCACCUAAGCAUUGCAGUCAAUGUUGAGCAGCACCACAGGGGACACGGCAGCCGUGGCAUAGAGGACUGCAUGGCCUUUCCCAGCCCCAUCUGUGAUUGACACGAGGCAAAUGCAGGGAUUUAACCAGGCUCUCCCUCCUGCACCGGCUGCCAAUGGAAAGAGUCGUGACUCGAGGCUGACCGGGUCUCCACUAAAAGAAGGAAUGACCUUGUCACCUUUAUCCUCGUAUCUAGUUACACGACACGGGAGGAAGCCAAAAAACGCCCCUCUCCUUGCCUGUUUGCUCAUUAGCGGUUCAUGGGACGGGCUUGACCCUUGGUUCCCCUGCAGCCGCCCCUGCUGGGGUCGGAGGCACGCAUGGCAUGCAGGGCCAAGCCCUGGGGCACACUCCAGGUGCAGCAGAUGACUGGGGUGCUUUUCUCGGCGAAGAGCUGCAGCAGUGGUUCAUGAGACGUGAAUGAGAGGUGCUGGGACUGCUCGGCCCUCGAGAUGGUGGUUCAGGACAUCCUGCCCAUCAUCACCGAGCUUUGGCCCCACUGGAUCACAGCUGUUCCCUGCAGUUUGUGUGGUGUUCACAGAUUAUUUUCACAUACCUCACGGGGGUCAGUCCGUCCCCAGCCUAACUGAGAUGAAGCCUCUGUGAUACAGGCUUUCAUCUGCAACUGCUAGGCAACAGUCUUUGCAUUCCCAAACACUAUAAAGUCUGAGAAGCUUCACAGUGGAGCCGGAGGUGGCCUUUGCUGGGUCCCUCUUGCCUGCACAGACACUGCUUUAUUCCAGCAGUAAAAUCUGGAGAGCCUCUCCAAGAAUGAGCCCUGAAAGCUCUACCAAGUUCCGUAGUGACUGGGGAGAAAUGAUUUUUCAGACACUAAAAGGGUUUAAUGAAGAGGAGACAGUAAAAUGGUAUAUGAAAAUAUUGACGCAUCAUUAACUCCUGCAUUACGUCAUGGUCAGACAGGCAGCAGCAGAACUGCAUACAGUCUGGCCUUAGCCUCCAAAGAGGAUAAUUCCCAUCAGCUUGAUGGCUGAGACCUUACAGUCCCCUUCAUGAGGACUAUAUUUAUUCUAUGUGCUCCAAAAGUCAGCAGAUCCUUUUGGUGCACAGGAAGACUGCUAAACAAGCUGCUGAAGGACUAGUGAUGUUUUCCAGCUCCAGCCUCAGCAAAGGACACUUCUCACCUCAUCACUUGUUUAAGUGACACCUGACCCAGGCUACCACUCACUGUCCCCCGUUUGUACCACUGUGACCAUUCGUAGGAUCAAGCAGUAAAUCAUGGAAUCCUAAAACCAUAGGCUGUCAUGAGCUGGAAGGGAACCACAUCUCCCUGGCUAUGGGAUGCUGUCAGUGUUUUCAACGAGGAGCUGGGCUAGGAGGAAAGGUGCUGGCUGCCCCAGCUUUUCCUCCUGAUGCCCACCUGUGCAGCAGCUUCUCAAAGAGGCCCUUCCAGCUGCGAAGCAGGUUCACCCAAACCAACCAACAGGGCACAGCACCUGCACAACUGCUCUACUUCUUCCUUGUAUGUGACAAACUAGAUUAAACUCCUUGUGAAAUUAGCUAGCGAUCUUUCACAAUUAAACUCAUAAUUAAUGUAAAUAGCCAAUUUAAUAUAUACCCAAGAGGAGAUGUGUAUUUAAAUGCACAUUUUCUGGUCAUUUAUAUUGUAUUGUGUUACAUUAGCCUGGGAGAUCCAUCUGUUGUUGAGCUUGCCCAAGACUUCUCAUUAAAUAAAACUGUGACAGUGGUUACAAUGCAGAUUCUUUUCAUGUUGAUUAUCCACCUCGAGCAAAAUAGCCAACUAUUUUAAUUACCUGCAAGAGUCAAAAUAGGAAAAAAAUACAGAUAUUCUCUUGUGAAAUAAAUGUUCC